UGAAUUAACUCAGAUAGUUGGGGAUGUUAUUGCUGAUCCAACUCUACCACGAACUGAAGACCAUCACUGUCCUAAAUGUGACCACAGAGAGGCAGUAUUUUUUCCAGUCUCACAGCACAAAGGCAGAAGAGGGCAUGAGAUUGUAUUAUGUUUGCACCAAUGCACAGUGCAUGCACCGGUGGACAGAGUAAGCCUGGUUCCAGUCAGCUAAUGUAUACGAUCCUUUUUUUUUUUUUUGGCUUGUACAAAUGUUACCAUAGACACUGUUCUUUUGUUAAACAAUAAAGCUAUAAACUUGC